GUAGUGGCUGCAAGGAAGAAAGAGGCCUGUUACCUGGGGGGCCUGGCUGUCUGCCCCCACCAUCACCCCACCCCAGUCUCCGGUCCCUCCUCCUCCAAUCUGUUACCUUCCCCUCCUUAGAGGUGCCUGCCACCUGUCCAGUGGCAAUGGUGACCAUAUCAGGGUGGACAGCCAGGCUGAGAAAGAAGACAGAUGGACAGGGCUCAGUGGGAGGGAUGGGGCUCAAAGGGGGGCCCAGGACUCCUCCUCCCUUAACAGGCUGAAGUCACAAUGCCUGGCUAUUCAUCCCACAGGUUGGUUGAGUGAGUUAUUUAGCCAAUAAACAUCGAUUUAGUCCUUCUGUAACAAUAAGGGGCUACUCUCCAGGUACCCAGCCUCGGAAGCAAGACUCUGUCCUGGGGUCUCUUAACUCAAAUGCCCAUACGGCUCAGGACUGUACCCAAGUGGUGGCCAGGGGGGCACAGCCAUCAAAAGGGGCUGUCGCUGCCUGGCUCCCACCCUUUUAGGAUCAUCGGGGGGCACCAGCUAGGAGUUUCGGAAAAGAAGUGAAAAAUCCAGGCAUAUGUUUCCGGCUCUCUCAAAAAGACUCUGGGCUCCAACAUCCCUGCCUCCACUAGAGCGGAAAUCAAGGCCGAAAGAAGAGGACGGGGCCUGGGUCCCUAGGCUGCUGAUCUGGAAAAAGCGUGGGCCACGGAGGCAAGAGUUCUCGCCCCAGAACUGGUCUGACUCCCGAGGACAAGGCUCAGUCCUUUCCUUUGGACUCAGCUUUGUCGUCCAGACAGUGAAGGCAGUAAUUCCCGAGCUGCAGGCGUCAGAGGGCUCUAGGAGGCCACGGGUUGUACAAAUACACUCUCAAUGCUACAAAAGAGAAGGAUUGUUAUCAUUCGCCGUAUUUACACAUAAAACAACUUAGAAUGGCGCCUGGCA